ensembl:lncRNA
CAGCAAUUCCAAAAAACGUUUUUUUCUUCAACAGAUGAGCUGCUGUCAAUUUGUGUAAACAAUGUGCCUUUUUUUAAAACAUAAAAACAGUGGGCAUUUCAUGCAGAAUAAUUUGCCAAUAAUUCCUCUCCACUUUGUUUGAUCUUGCAAAAUAGUCAUUUACAUAACUAAUAAUUUCAACUAAUUGGAAUAAUUUUCCUCUAUUUAGUUUCUUGAAGUAAUUAAAAGUCCCAUUAAAUCCCAUCCUGCUUCACCGUUAUCUGCUCCAACUCCGCAGCGGUUGAAGGCCUCUUCUGUAAUUGUGAUCGAUGAGUAUCGGUGCUGAUUGUGCACAUCGUGCGUUUGAGUGUGUGCAGUUCCGGUUCAUUUGUUUCCAGCUAAAGGAACCAACAGGUCCGACCUGCCGAACCGUUGACUCAGCACAUAGCGUCUGUGUGUGCACAGACCGUGUACAAAUAUGCAAAUAAAUAAAACAGAAGCCGAUUUAAUGUUUAUAAGGCUAUAAGACAGAAUGUGCACGCUAGGUGCACAGUGCCGCAUGCUACUAUGGAUGGUCCAGCAUGUCAUCAUUAGUUUACAUCUGUAUUAACUCUCAUAAUAGUUCAGGGUGAAACUGCAUUCCACUGUAAAAAUAUUCACUUGUUUGUGCGAGUGUGGCCUAAUGUACAGUAUAUUCACUACACCUAAAAUGGGAUAGUUGUAACCAUAGCAACCGAUGUGUAAAUGGAGUACAAAGGGAAGUCGAGUAUAAAUGAAGGUGUCUUCCUUGUGAAAACAAACUUGUGUGAUCACAUGUCACCAAUAAACACAGCGACCUGAGACAUGAACCUGCACUCGGCUCACACGCUGUACAGACACACACUGUGUUCACACCACUCGCUGCUUUUACAUUUGUUUGAAGAGAAACAAAACCUCAGAACUGACACGAUGAAAGGUGAGCGUUGGAUUUUCUCCAUGAUUUAGGGGGAAAACAGAGGAGUUCUGAGCAGAGAGACUGAAAAAGAGGCUGAAAACCCUGUUUGAGGUGAACGCUGCUUCCACCUGGUGGUCAGAUUGUGAGAAUGCACGUGUGAAGAAAAGGUCAAAAUGUCUGAUACUACAGGAUAUGCACUUAAAAACAUGUAAGACAAUCUUGUACAUAGACACGGUGAUGACAGAGGGAUGCUGAUAUGCUGAGAUGAAACAUUACUGGGUGACAUAAUAUCAGUUCAGCAGUCCUAAACGUUUGAUAAACCCACGUUCCUGUUUCAUUUGGCUCCUCAUUUGCAUCCCUUCUCCUUCUUCCUUACACAAGACUGGUUUCCAAGCUGUGGAAUCCUCUCGUCUGUCAUUUCCUUUCUCACCCACAGCAGUGGCAGCUGCUACACAAUGAGAGGCAUAGGCAAAGAGAGAGGGGCGAUGAUAUGUGUCACUUAAGGGGCUUUUAAGUGACCCUAAAUCUUCUGGAUACACUUGCUACUUACUGUACAAUUUACUCAAUAUUCUGGGCGAAAACAUGCUUCUAAGUAAAUACGAGUAGUUGUGGAUCACUAGGUGGCAGUGUAACACAGCUGCAUGCUGGGACUGUGUGAAUGCGAGAGUAUGUUCCUGUUUGUGCAUUCAUACACCCCCCCCCCAAACACACACACACACAGGCACACACACAUAUAUACAGUGUAUACUCUCUGCAUACGCGUGACAUAUGAAAGAAUGAGCUCAAGGAAGUGAUAUCCUAAUCCCAGAACAAACACUGUGCCCC